AGCUCCGAUAGCGUAUAUUAAAGUUGUUGCAGUUAAAAAGCUCGUAGUUGGAUCUCGGGAUUCGGCCGGCUGGACUGCCUUUUGGUGGACCGGCUGGCUGGCCUGUUCAAUUGCCGUGGACAGUUUGGGUGGUCUUAAUUGAUCGCUCACUCUGCCCGGCGUGUUUACUUUGAGAAAAUUAGAGUGCUCAAAGCAGGCAGACAUGCCUGAAUACUGUUGCAUGGAAUAAUGGAAUAGGAGUUCGCUCCUAUUUUGUUGGUUUAAUGGAGUAAACUAAUGAUUAAAAGGGACAGACGUGGGCAUUCAUAUGCACGGGCGAGGGGUGAAAUCCUGUGACCCUGUGCAGAUGACCUACAGCGAAAGCAUUUGCCAGGAAUGUUUUCAUUAAUCAAGAACGAAA
rnacentral:rRNA from 1 species